rnacentral:lncRNA from 1 species
UCAACCAUAACAUUAAUCCUUGAAAACUAAACCAAUGGAAAAUUUUAGCCUAAUAUCACCUUAACUUAUUGGCAUAAUGAUAAAACUUAAUUAAGUUCUUACGAAACAAAAACAUGAACAAAAUUUUAAGUCCAGAAAGACAUGUAAAAAAGUAAUUUUUUUAAGAAAAAAAAAACUAAAUUGAAAUCCAAAAGAUUUCAUUUUCCAUCAGGUUUCUCGAUCUUCACACGAACCAUUUUAGGGGGUUUGGUGAUAGAAUUUUCUCCAAUUUCAUCAACAACAAAAACAUCAGUAGAGUUCACACUAUCAGAUGAUCUCUUCAAACUUGACUUGGAUGUUGGGGUUUCUUGCACAUCAUU